rnacentral:rRNA from 1 species
UUUAGUUCAAACCCCCGAAACUAAGUGAGCUACCCCGAGACAGCCUAUCAAUUAGGGCCAACCCAUCUCUGUGGCAAAAGAGUGGGAAGAGCUCCGGGUAGAGGUGAUAAACCUACCGAACUUAGUUAUAGCUGGUUACCUAAGAAAUGAAUAAAAGUUCAGCCUCGCACUCCUUGCCCCACAAACAUCUAAAAUCAUACGAGCCAAAGAAAUAUGCGAGAGUUAGUCAAAGGGGGUACAGCCCCUUUGAAACAGGACACAACCUCAUACAGGAGGUUAAAGAUUAUACUAAACAAGAUAUACCGCUUUAGUGGGCCUAAAAGCAGCCACCCAAACAGAUAGCGUUAAAGCUCCAGCGGAUUAAAAAUCUAUUAUCCAAAUAAUUUAUCUAAGACCCCUAACUAUAUUAGGUCGCCCCAUGCCUACAUGGAAGAGAUACUGCUAAAAUGAGUAAUAAGAAGGAACCCCCUUCUCCUAGCCUACGUGUAUAUUAGAUCGGACUCUCCACUAAUAAUUAUCGAACCCAACCAAAGAGGGCAAUGUGCCCACACUAAAAAACAAGAAAACAUCACACUACCAAAUCGUUAACCCCACACCGGAAGGCCAACAAGGAAAGACUAAAAGAAAAGGAAGGAACUCGGCAAACCCAAGCCUCGCCUGUUUACCAAAAACAUCGCCUCCUGCAAAAAUCAAUGUAUAGGAGGUCCUACCUGCCCAGUGACAAGUUAAACGGCCGCGGUAUUUUGACCGUGCGAAGGUAGCGCAAUCACUUGUCUUUUAAAUGAAGACCUGUAUGAAUGGUGGAACGAGGGCUUAACUGUCUCCCUUUUCCAGUCAAUGAAAUUGAUCUGCCCGUGCAGAAGCGGACAUAUUAAUACAAGACGAGAAGACCCUUUGGAGCUUAAGAUAAAAGAUCAACUAUGUCAAGAAACUAAAAAUAUAGCUUAAACUAAAUAGCGACUGAUCCUUGUCUUCAGUUGGGGCGACUGCGGAAGAAAACAAAGCUUCCACGAGGACUGGGAUAAUAUAUCCUAAAGCCAAGAAAGACACUUCUAAGCCACAGAACAUCUGACCAUUUAAGAUCCGGCCACCAGCCGAUCAACGGACCAAGUUACCCUAGGGAUAACAGCGCAAUCCCCUUUCAGAGUUCAUAUCGACAAGGGGGUUUACGACCUCGAUGUUGGAUCAGGACAUCCUAAUGGUGCAGCCGCU